GAUGAACGCUGGCGGCGUGCCUAAUACAUGCCAGUCGAGCGAACAGACGAGGAGCUUGCUCCUCUGACGUUAGCGGCGGACGGGUGAGUAACACGUGGAUAACCUACCUAUAAGACUGGGAUAACUUCGGGAAACCGGAGCUAAUACCGGAUAAUAUAUUGAACCGCAUGGUUCAAUAGUGAAAGACGGUUUUGCUGUCACUUAUAGAUGGAUCCGCGCCGCAUUAGCUAGUUGGUAAGGUAACGGCUUACCAAGGCAACGAUGCGUAGCCGACCUGAGAGGGGGAUCGGCCACACUGGAACUGAGACACGGUCCAGACUCCUACGGGAGGCAGCAGGAGGGAAAUCUUCCGCAAUGGGCGAAAGCCUGACGGAGCAACGCCGCGUGAGUGAUGAAGGUCUUCGGAUCGUAAAACUCUGUUAUUAGGGAAGAACAAAUGUGUAAGUAACUAUGCACGUCUUGACGGUACCUAAUCAGAAAGCCACGGCUAACUACGUG
rnacentral:rRNA from 1 species